rnacentral:rRNA from 1 species
UGGGGCUGGAUCACCUCCUUUU